AGCAGCGGCAGCGGUAGCAGCGGCAGCGGCAGCUUGGUCCUCUGACUCUCUUCGGUGACGGGUAUUCUUGGGUGGAUAAUACGGAUUACGUUGUUAUUGCUUAAGAAUACGCGUAGUCGAGGAGAGUACCAGCGGCAGGGGGGCAGCGGCCGCCCUCCCCAGCCCACCAGCUGGCCACUAAACGCCCGUGGUUGCCAAGGACGAGUCUCAAACACCAACAAACGCAAGGCACGUCCCCCCUCUCAGGUCAGCUGCGAAGGCAUGGGAGCAAGAGAGAGCCUCUCCCUCCUUCUACUUAGAGUUUUUGUUUGUUUGUUUGUUUGUUUCAAAUAUUAAUGGAAGAUAAAACAACACGGAUUUGUCACCUCCUAGCGAAGGGGAAGCCACCGCCACCACACCCCUCAAGCAUGCCCGGGCACUCCUGGGGACAAUCGGACGUGGCAGGAGUUGGCAUGCCCAAGAUGAAGCUGGGAAGGAUGACCCAGAGUGGAAGGCGUGGGCUGGGGCUCCAGGUCUCAGCUCUCGCCAGCGUCGGACCACACAGCUUUGCCAGCUUUGCACCUUGCCUUUCCUUCUUGUGAGGCAUCUGGGACCGUCCUAUCAAGGCGCUUCAAAGGUGGAAGGACAGAGUGCUGGGGACAAGAACGUACCAGGCGCCCAGAAGAUUCCACUAGCGCGGCCAAACACUAAGACCAGGUUUCCUCCCUGCGUGGUGGUCGUUGGUUGUGCACGGGCUGCGCAGGAAGACUGAAUUCCUGAGAAAUGGAAACUGCAUGAGAAAAAUCAAAUAAACUUAGAGGCCUGUGAAGCUCUCCCUCUUGUCGCUCUGGGACCGCUCUAAGCUGAGCUACAUCUCAGAUACCUUCUCCCCCUGGAGGAUGGGCCUUUCUCAGGCACGAAGUGCGUGUGCCCCACUGGGCUCUUGCCCACAAGAGCAGUCUGAACCCUG
rnacentral:lncRNA from 1 species